GCAGCCUCCCCAAGGGAUUGAUUCCUUCCUCAGCAACAGUUGCUCAGAGUUGAGCACAGGAACUUGCCUUUUUCCAAGUAGCAGACACAGGCCGAGGCACAGAGUGGGGCUAAGGAAAUGUGCGGUGAAUGGAUGGUGAACAGGAAGGGACACUGAAGAAGGAGGUGGUACUGAGAGCAGCCAUCUUGGAGCUUGGAAACGGAGACGCAUGUGAAGCCGUUUGCACAGUAUUUUUCCCUUAAAAUAUGGGUGGGGAACAAGGGGCUCUCAUUUGUCUUUUUCUUUGGGAUGGUGAGCAGUGAGCAGGGCACGCCACGAGGAGCAAACUGCAGCCCAAGCACACGCGGUCAGCACGCGGAGCACAGGGGGGGAGAAGCGGCUGAAGGUGGCCUGGCGCCUCGUACCUGGGUGUGGAUGCCCCGCCGCCCCGCAGGGGAAAGCUCCUGGAGUCUGGGGUCUGCUGUCCCGAGCUCUGGGUGUCCAGGAAGAUCAGGCCAAUUUCGUGGUCUCUCAGACAUCGGUAAACAAGAGGCCUUGGCUCCUCAGGAGACCGGGAGCCUCUCACUGUACUUCCUUCUCUUGGCUCCAAGGACAUAGAACGGUUGCUAUGGGGAUUCCUUCAUUUGUACUGGGUCUCUGCCCCAGCUGCCUGGGAGAAACUGUGUUGAAGGAGCCAUACCCCCUGGCCUCCCCUCCAGACUCCAGACAACCCCAGUCAGCUGGCUGAUCCUGGGAAGGGCAGGAGGAGGAGUGAGACCUGGCCUGCCCUCUCCCUAGAGGCUCAUCAGCUCUGUGGAGACAGACACGCCCUGG
rnacentral:lncRNA from 1 species